GGGCCACCGUACAUAGGCCUGCGCUGCUGUUACAGGACCGCCGCGGGAGGCGUCCUCGGCUUCCCCGACUCGCCAGUUCGUCGUCAUCUUGGUCUCCUCCCCCAAAUCCCACGCCGCCCGCCGGCCGCAUUCUCUCCCCCCGCGUUCUCUUCUCCGUCUGCUGCCCCAAAUCCCAUCGCACAGCGGGGGUGGAGGGUCGGUUCGAGCUUUGGCUUCGGUGCGCACAGUGAGCAGGAGAGGUGGCGACCGCCGGCGGCCACUGUGGGAGGAUGAGGACGAAUCGGUCGUGUUUUGCCCCUUCCCUGUGCUGGCGACGAGCGUGCAUCAGCGAAUGGGCGGGCUCGCCGGAGCGGGACUGCACGCCGGCCGGCUGCUACGGGAAGAGGCAUUGCCUAAUGCUUUGAUAUGAGUUGCUAUCGGUUCUGCACAGAGUUUGUCCAAGUAAACUCACUGCUUCUCCCAAAGAUAUCCCUUGAGGGAUGUCGUGCCAACUGCCAAAGUAUUCGAAGUUGUGAAACUCAGGACCACAGGCAUGUAGUCAAAGCCUGCAAGGAUAGUUUGAAGAAUCCUCGGCUUGAUUAUCUACCUUUCUUGUUCGAUUCCCCGUAGCUACUACGCUACUGUUCUGGAUGGUUGUUGCCAAUGUUGAUGAUAUUUCUAUGCUCGAUGGGCAUGCACUUAUGGAGGUGUUGUGUCCAUCUGUUGCUUGGAUGAUGUAUCUUAGUCAUCCAACUUCCAAAGUGAUGAGGACAUGACUACCUUGGAUACGACCACAAAUAUUGCAUACAUGCAUAUUUGUCAGGUGAUUUUUAGUGCAAACUAUUUCAUAAUCUAUUUAUGUUAUCCAGAACAAAAA